CAGAGAUACAAGGCAGGGGCAACCUCAGCGAUACCCCCUUAUGGGUUUGUGAGAGGCCAUCACAAAGAGAAAUCAGCACAGUUCCCCAAACUAGGGAAUGUGGUGGCUGAGCUGCAACUGUCCAUCAGUGACCCAGCGAAGCACUUUGGCUGUCUGGCCAGGGAGGGGAUUUACUAGCUCUACAAAUUGCUGCUAAGCCAGAGGAGGACACCAUGACCGCAAUGAUGUGCCAGCUUCACUCCAUCUGAUCCUGUCACCAUGUAUCCGAAGCACAGCAAGGGCUGCACCUUUUAGGGCGGCCCUGAUGGGAUGUGGAACCCCACACUGGGCCAAGAGGGGCUAGAAAGGAGGCCUGAGCUACUGGGAUCCUGCCCCACCAUCCCUGCAGAACCUGCUCCAGCUGGCAGAAAAGUUUCAAAGAGAAUCUGCAUGCUAGCUCAGAAACCAAAGGGUUAAUCCAGACACUGCCAGCUACUGCUGAUUGGCAGGCUAACAGCGGCUGGAAGGAUCAAAGGGCUGGGAUUCAGACUGGCAGGACAGCUCAGAGAUGCCUGCAUGCUAGCUCAGAAACCAAAGGGUUAAUCCAGACACUGCCAGCUACUGCUGAUUGGCAGGCUAACAGCGGCUGGAAGGAUCAAAGGGCUGGGAUUCAGACUGGCAGGACAGCUAAAGAGGAGUGAGCAUACAGGAGAAAGGAACUCCGGUCAACAAACUGCUAGAGAGCCACCCAGGGGCAUCCCCCAGCAAGGGGCAAAGAAGACAAACUCCCUGAUGGGCCUGAGCACAGAGUGAAUUUCCAGAUUCCUGGGCAUGAGGAGUGGACAGACAGCCCCACUCAACUGAGUGAGCUGGAGCCACAUCCUCCCCUAGUUUGGCCAGGCGUUGCACCUCUGCCAUGACACGCCCCCAUACAAGUCAUGAAGCUCCAAAAGAAGAGAGACCAAAGAACCAGAGACUGGCUGAGGAAGGGUGCAGCAGGAGUCCUGGCUACAGGAGAGAUUCUGCUAGCAGCAGCUGUCCAGGUCUGAGAACAGGGGCCAGCCUUUGCUAAGACUACAGAACCCUUUGCUCUAACAUCUGGAGGACCAUGGCUGAGACAUGUGACCAUAUGCCCAGUGUAGAGGAAAAGCCCAGGCUACUACCCUAACCACCCAUUUCUUGGAGGAGACCCUUUUUCCUCCAUUGGGAAGGAGGAGAAGGUAAAGACAUAAUAAGCCCUGAGCCUGGAGCCAUUCACAGGAACCAGAGGAGGCUGCAGAUGCUUCUUUUAUGGGGAUGUUGGACUGUACAUUAUGUUGCACUCUGUUAAUCUGGAACUCGUUGGUGGCCUGAGCCAGGCUGAUCCCAUGGUUCCUCUUAUUAGCAGUGGAGCUACUAUAUGAGAGACAGUAUUCCAGGAACAACCAGAACAACAUGAUGCAAUAUGUGUUCUGUGAGAGGGAAAACUUGGAGCCCUUGUAAGUUUGUUACAAGAGAAUAUGUAAUCUCUGAACCAGGAGCAGGCUGAGAACAAUGGGACUGAAUGUGAGAAUUUCAACCCAGUGAGAGGAUGUGUUGUUGCUGCUAACCUUGAAGUUAAAACUGCUGUCCAAGUGGCAAGGAUCAUUCAUGGUUAUAAACAAGGCAAGGGCAGUAGAUGAUGAAAGCCACCAUCCAGGGCAGAGAAAUGAAAUAUAGGCUAUACCACAUGCACCCACUGAGGACUUGAAAAGAACAAGGACUCCUCAUCAUGCUUUUUUCACCAGAACCUGAGUUUAGGCUGCCAGUGCCUUAAUCCAUGAUGCUGGAAAGAAAAGAAACAGCAAAUAUAAUGAAUUGCAGACCUCCCCUUGGGGUUUGUAGCAUUGCCAGAACAUUCCAAUGGAAACUACUAUCAAGUGCAGACCAUUAUGAGGAAAAAAGGUCCCUGAGAAUCUGACUAGGGCCCUAUCAAUUUCACAGCUAUGAACAAUGUGUCACGGACUAUGAAUUCUGCUCUGCUCUGUGAAAUCUGAUCUCCCCAUGGGGCUAGGAUGCUGAGUCACUCAGCUGUUAUUCUGGGGAGGGACAGAAGUUCUUCUUCUUCUACAUGGCCACUCUUGGUGGGGAG